rnacentral:rRNA from 2 species
CUGGUAUUGAUUGGUGCUUGCAUCAUGAUUUACAUUUGAGUGAGUGGCGAACUGGUGAGUAACACGUGGGAAACCUGCCCAGAAGCGGGGGAUAACACCUGGAAACAGAUGCUAAUACCGCAUAACAACUUGGACCGCAUGGUCCGAGUUUGAAAGAUGGCUUCGGCUAUCACUUUUGGAUGGUCCCGCGGCGUAUUAGCUAGAUGGUGGGGUAACGGCUCACCAUGGCAAUGAUACGUAGCCGACCUGAGAGGGUAAUCGGCCACAUUGGGACUGAGACACGGCCCAAACUCCUACGGGAGGCAGCAGUAGGGAAUCUUCCACAAUGGACGAAAGUCUGAUGGAGCAACGCCGCGUGAGUGAAGAAGGGUUUCGGCUCGUAAAACUCUGUUGUUAAAGAAGAACAUAUCUGAGAGUAACUGUUCAGGUAUUGACGGUAUUUAACCAGAAAGCCACGGCUAACUACGUGCCAGCAGCCGCGGUAAUACGUAGGUGGCAAGCGUUGUCCGGAUUUAUUGGGCGUAAAGCGAGCGCAGGCGGUUUUUUAAGUCUGAUGUGAAAGCCUUCGGCUCAACCGAAGAAGUGCAUCGGAAACUGGGAAACUUGAGUGCAGAAGAGGACAGUGGAACUCCAUGUGUAGCGGUGAAAUGCGUAGAUAUAUGGAAGAACACCAGUGGCGAACGCGGCUGUCUGGUCUGUAACUGACGCUGAGGCUCGAAAGUAUGGGUAGCAACAGGAUUAGAUACCCUGGUAGUCCAUACCGUA